rnacentral:pre_miRNA from 1 species
GAGGUACUCCCUCCGUUCCGAAUUAGUUGUCUUGGAUUUGUCUAGAUACGAAGUCUAGAUACAUCCGUAUCUAGACAAAUCCAAGACAACUAAUUCGGAACGGAGGGAGUAUUAU